ensembl:lncRNA MFSD14CP major facilitator superfamily domain containing 14C, pseudogene
CGUGGCGUCGCUGGAGGCUACUCAGGCGCGGGACUCGUUCUCGAGGCGGGAGCUGAGGUGCGGGGUGGGGCCUCCAACCGUGCAGCCCGCCCCUGACGCCGCCGGUAACUGCGACAGUCGGGGUCGGUGCGGUUUGCUAAGUGGUCGGUUCCUGGAGCUGCGGUCUUCUGCUAGCCUGAUCCGCAGCUUCAGCCUCCGCCGCCUCCUCAGCCCUCGGCGCCGCCGCCUGACCCGCAGGCCGCCGCGGGCCGCAGAGCCCAUGAGGGCGCGGGCACCGCCGCCGCCUCCGCGGCGUCGCCGUCGUCCCGGAGCGCCCCGAGCUGGCGCGGGCAUGGCCGCGGCAUGAGCGUGGAGCCGCCGCCGGAGCUGGAGGAGAAGGCGGCGUCGGAGCCCGAGGCGGGAGCCAUGCCGGAGAAGCGCGCGGGCGCGCAGGCCGCGGGGAGCACCUGGGUUCUACAUGAAACAUUUUCUCAACACACAUUCCUCAUGAAUGGUCUCAUUCAAGGUGUAAAGGGCCUGCUCUCUUUUUUGAGUGCCCCACUCAUUGGUGCCCUGUCUGAUGUGUGGGGGAGGAAGCCCUUUCUCCUCGGCACUGUAUUCUUUACCUGCUUCCCAAUCCCACUGAUGAGGAUCAGCCCAUGGUGAGUGACUUGGCCCUUCACCUCCUGACUGCUUGUUUUGAGUCACAUGUAAAUUAUAUUUGCAGAGCACUUCUUAACUAUUACAAAGCAGUUGUGCUUGUGUUUUCAUUUGAUCUCUCUGGUAAUACUGAAAACCAGUUUGGACAGUUGUCAUUAUAUCCAUUUUAUAAAUGGGGUAGUGAAGACAUUCUAGAAUUAAGUCUGAGAUAAGUUACUUAGGUGAAGAAAUUUUAUUUUUUCACAUUGCUAGAAGAAACAU